rnacentral:sRNA from 1 species
UAACCCAAUGUUAACAAGUGGGGAGACCAGAAGGCUUGGUCUGGAAGAAGGAACAGGCUCUUCUUUCUACAUCUCAGCCCUGAGCACUCACCUAGCAUUCCUCAGAGAAUAUAGGGGACAAGGUUAAGCAAGGGCCUCUGGCCCCCCAGGAAAGAAGAAUUCACAUUUAUCAGAAUCCUGCCAUGGCCCAGGCUCCACGUUAGCUCAUUUGAUAGAUACUAUCUCCUCACAGCCCAACCAGAUCAGCAUUUAUCAUCCCUGGGGUAGAAAUGGUGAAACAGAGAUUAACAAGCUUACCUCAGGCACACAGCUAAAUCCAGGCGCCAAAUUCCUGAACCCAACACCAGUGCUCUUUCCACUCUGCCUCCAAAGCCCAGGAAAGCUGUUUGUGCUAAGGUGACCCUGAAUGACUUCACACAAUUAACCAGGCACCUGGCUAAACCCUUAGCAAAUUAAUUCAACGUAUAUUUAAGAGAAAACUGUAACGAUUUGAGUUUGGUUCUAUGGGCCAUGCAAAGAGAACAUGACAGAGUUUGUAUUUUAGCAGAGUGAGUAUAACAAGUGCAAGCUUACAACACAGGAACAGAGGCUUUAAAUCCAGCCUAUGGGUUCACUUGGCCUCAUGCAAGCAAAUCCUCCAAGACUGGGAGCAGCUAGCUGCCAUGCAUAACUGGCUUCCAAUACAGGGACUUUUCUUAAACAUCUGAGUGUCCCACCUCCCAGGACCUGAAAAAAAGAGCAUUUGAUUGACAAAGGUGGGAGAGAAGCUUGGGAACCGAGAUUUGGCUGUUACCUGUUAGUCUGCUUCCACAGAGGUCAUUGAUGACUUUGCCCAAUGUGUGGCUCAACAGUUAAAGCCAGGUGCAAAUGAAGCCAGGAUAAGAGGCUUAGUCCUAGUAGAGUUGCUCUGUCAAGUGGCAGGCAGUUCUGGCCCCAACUGACCAUGUGGUUAGCAGCCUUAUGCUUUUUGUCAAAGGGGCCUAAAGUAGGAAAGCGUAGGUAAUCACAUAGUAGGCGCUCAAGUGAGAACAUGCUGUUCCAAACCCUUGGCUCCAGACAUGCUGCUUUUAGCAUGCUUGCUGACCAAGGACCCACAGAGUCAGUGUCAGCUCUGCACAUGGAGACAGCAGUUACUCCCUUUAUAUCUCAGCUAGGCACCCUGCCUCAUAUUUUUAUAGUACUCUAAUGCCAAGGGUGUGGGUCUCCCGAAAGAGCUGCUUUGAUGCAGCUGCCUGUUGUGUGGCUCUAAGCUUGUCUUUCCAUUACCAUGAGAUGACUAUGGCAGUUGACACAUCUCAGGAGAAGAGGCUGCCACACCUGUUUGAAGCCUUCUCUUCUACAACUUGAACUGAAGGGCCCUCCUCAACUAAAAAUAAAUGCUUCUCAAGUUUCUUCAGCCAUAAUGGGGAGGGGUAUUUUCUAGAAGCAUUCCCCACCCCAGGUAACCUUGCUUUUCUGCUUCAUAUAGGGAUUUGGUAAAGAUAAUCUGUACUCAAGGUAGCUUCUAUCUCCAAAAUCUGGAGUGCCAGGAAUCACCAAAUGAUAUGUCUGGCAAUGACUAAGUACCCCUCCGUUUCUAGGUCAGUUCACAGACAUGGCAUGAGGAGCACUGGCACGGCCUUGGAAAAUUAAAUGUGUAGGAUUUAUGGUACACAAAAUCUAUCUCCCCAUGAAAUUAAUCUCAGAGAUUCCAUAAAGACACUCUUAAAAAUCUCUAGAAAUUGUUCUACAACAUCGUCCAUGGUACCAGAUGUACAUCCAGACUCCUAACAAGGAUACUGUAAGUGACAGUGGCAAUAACUUAGGGUUUUUUGAGUGGCAUCAGUCACUGUAUAGUAAGAUCCCUGUUUUCAUACAAGCAAUAGUGUUCGAGGUUUUGUUUUAUUUUGUUUUGGGGGAAAUUUGGAUUCCCUGGUUUACUUACUACCUAACAAUGUCACUAUUGAAAUACACCGAGUUAAAGACCAUAUGCUCUCUCUCCAGAGAGCGCACACAAAUACUAUUUCUGUUAAAAAAAAAAAAACUAAACAGAAAUUGUAGCUUUGCAUAUUUCUCAUUCAAAGACUGAUGCCAUUUGAAUGAUCCCUUUGUCACUGAAUCUUUUCCCCAAGUGGGUCCUAACAAAAGCUAAAUUAGAUAUCAUGACUUAGAAAAGGUCACGAGGAGUCAUCUAGUGAACUAGAAAUAGAAUCCACAAGCCUUUAUUUUGAUUCCUCGAAUUUAAAAACAGAAACUUUACUAUAGAGAAAGAAAAACUGAAGUAGUCUUAAUAGACUUACUUGCCAUUCCUGGAGCAGGGAAUCCAAGGCAACAAAGCUAAUAAUCAACUGUGAGGCCAAGAGAUAAAUAAAGCGCGGGGACUGCCAGCCUUCAGAGAGCUCUUGUCCAGAGGGGAGCGGAGAAGGGAGACCCUGUUGAAAGUGUCUCUCCAGUGCUUAUGCACACCGAGAGGACCCUCAAGAGUCGCUAAUGCAUCUCUACAGCCUCCAUGCAACUGGCACAAUGACCUGCAUGUGACUUGCAAGCAAGCACUCUAUCUGAAUGGUGGCUGUAAGAGAGGCACCAGCACAGUGCUGUGGAGGUUGGCAAAGAACUAAGGACAGCUUUGUGAAGGAGGUGACAUCUGAGCUGUGCCUGAGAGAUAGGGAGGUUUUCCCGCACAAGCAGCAUGGAUUGGGGGUACGGGAAAGCAAUGUGUUCUAAGGAAGACCAAGGUGUAGAGAGAGCACAGUGGGCUAGCGUGCUAGAGCACGGGGAGCAGGAAGGGGCUAUGGCCCAAGCGGACGAACCCUUGACAGCAAGCUCCCAAAUUUCAUAGUGGCUGUCAUUGAAGGGCUGAACAAGUGUGCAUAGCUCCACCAAGGCAGAGCUUCCUGCCACAUCAUGCCACUCUGCCCUUUGAGGCUGCCCUAGCCAUGUCAGGAAUGGUGAACUUCUUUUGAUUGCCCUGUUUGUAUGUGGUUUGGUUUGGAGGUUUUAUGUGGUUUUGUUUGUUUUUUGGCCUUUCCCUUUUCCUUACAGUUUUUCACAGCAUAUGGUCCUGAUUAUGUGCUGGAAAUCACGCCAAGCUGCCGGCCAGACCGCAAUGAGCCCCAUCGAAUCCAGCAAAUCCUCAACUACAUCAAAGGGAAUCUGAAGCAUGUGGUCUAGUUGACAAAAAGAGAUCAAGUUUCCAGAGCUGGGCAGAACCCAUAAUGAAGACAGUGUGUUGAUGCAAGCAGUUUGUGGGAUUUGUGACUGCAGGGGAAAUUUGGAAGAAAUUACUUCCUGAAAAUUUCCAAGGGGCACCAAGUGGCAGCUGGCCUCCUGGGGUGAGGAGGCAGACACCUCAGAGCCAGGCCUAGGGGGAAAGAGGGAGAUAUCCAGUGUUGAAUGUGUCUUAUUUUAAAACACAAACACUGUUUUUAAUGUUUCAAAAUUAUUUUUAAGCAAGUUGGGGGAAUAAUUUUAUCUUUAUAAAGGGGACAAGUCAGGAGCUGCAGUCAAGUGGAGCUGGGUAGGGGAACAGCAGAUGGGCAGGUUUGGACCUCAGGGCCAUUUAGAUAGAGACACAUCGGGGAGGGGUGUCAGCAGACUGGGAGGUAAAGAGGAGUCUACCACUUUUGUUUUGGUACUAUGCACUCAAGUUGUUCUUAAUAAAAUUUUUGAAACUCUA